rnacentral:rRNA from 1 species
AACGAACGCUGGCGGCAGGCUUAACACAUGCAAGUCGAGCGCCCCGCAAGGGGAGCGGCAGACGGGUGAGUAACGCGUGGGAAUCUACCCAUCUCUACGGAAUAACGCAUGGAAACGUGUGCUAAUACCGUAUACGUCCUUCGGGAGAAAGAUUUAUCGGAGAUGGAUGAGCCCGCGUUGGAUUAGCUAGUUGGUGGGGUAAAGGCCUACCAAGGCGACGAUCCAUAGCUGGUCUGAGAGGAUGAUCAGCCACACCGGGACUGAGACACGGCCCAGACUCCUACGGGAGGCAGCAGUGGGGAAUAUUGGACAAUGGGCGCAAGCCUGAUCCAGCCAUGCCGCGUGAGUGAUGAAGGCCCUAGGGUUGUAAAGCUCUUUCACCGGUGAAGAUAAUGACGGUAACCGGAGAAGAAGCCCCGGCUAACUUCGUGCCAGCCGCCGCCGAAUAC